rnacentral:rRNA from 1 species
UGGGGGAAACCCUGAACCAGCGACGCCGCGUGACCGAUGAAGGCCCUCGGGUCGUAAAGGUCUUUCGACGGGGACUAUAAUGAAGGUACCCGUAAAAGCAGGAGCGGCUAACUAUGUGCCAGCAGCCGCGGUAAUACAUAGGCUCCAAGCGUUGUUCGGAAUUACUGGGCGUAAAGCGAGUGUAGGCUGUCCGCCAAGUCGAUUGUGAAAUCUCCCGGCUUAACUGGGAGGGUGCGGUCGAAACUGGCGGACUGGAGUUCGGGAGAGGAGAGUGGAAUUCCUGGUGUAGCGGUGAAAUGCGUAGAUAUCAGGAGGAACACCGGCGGUGAAGACGGCUCUCUGGACCGAUACUGACGCUGAGACUCGAAAGCGUGGGGAGCAAACAGGAUUAGAUACCCUGGUAGUCCACGCCCUAAACGAUGCGUACUUGGUGUGGGUGCUUCAUUGCAUCUGUGCCGAAGUUAACACGAUAAGUACGCCGCCUGGGGAGUACGGUCGCAAGGCUG